UACGAAGGGGCUAGCGUUGCUCGGAAUCACUGGGCGUAAAGCGCACGUAGGCGGACUCUUAAGUCGGUGGUGAAAUCCUGGAGCUCAACUCCAGAACUGCCUUCGAUACUGAGAGUCUUGAGUCCGGGAGAGGUGAGUGGAACUGCGAGUGUAGAGGUGAAAUUCGUAGAUAUUCGCAAGAACACCAGUGGCGAAGGCGGCUCACUGGCCCGGUACUGACGCUGAGGUGCGAAAGCGUGGGAGCAAACAGG
rnacentral:rRNA from 1 species